rnacentral:misc_RNA from 1 species
UCUCCGUAGGUGAACCUGCGGAGGGAUCAUUACAGAGUUCUCGCCCUCGCGGGUAGAUCUCCCACCCACUGUUAUCGUUACUGUGUUGCUUUGGCGGGCCGCCGGGCCCCGCUCGGCCGCCGGCUCCGGCUGGCGCGCGCCCGCCAGAGGCCCAGCAAACUCUGUAUGUUAGUGUCGUCUGAGUACUAUAUAAUAGUUAAAACUUUCAACAACGGAUCUCUUGGUUCUG